UACAGAGGUCUCAAGCGUUGUUCGGAUUCAUUGGGCGUAAAGCGCGUGUAGGCGGCCCGGUAAGUCCGCUGUGAAAGUCGGGGGCUCAACCCUCGAAAGCCGGUGGAUACUGUCGGGCUAGAGUACGGAAGAGGCGAGUGGAAUUCCUGGUGUAGCGGUGAAAUGCGCAGAUAUCAGGAGGAACACCCAUUGCGAAGGCAGCUCGCUGGGACGUUACUGACGCUGAGACGCGAAAGCGUGGGGAGCAAACAGG
rnacentral:rRNA from 1 species